AAUACUUAGGAAUCUGCCCAUUAAUGGGGGACAACAGUUGGAAACGACUGCUAAUACCGCAUACGCCCUACGGGGGAAAGCAGGGGAUCUUCGGACCUUGCGUUAAUGGAUGAGCCUAAGUCGGAUUAGCUAGUUGGUGGGGUAAAGGCCUACCAAGGCGACGAUCUGUAGCGGGUCUGAGAGAAUGAUCCGCCACACUGGGACUGAGACCCGGCCCAGACUCCUACGGGAGGCAGCAGUGGGGAAUAUUGGACAAUGGGGGGAACCCUGAUCCAGCCAUGCCGCGUGUGUGAAGAAGGCCUUUUGGUUGUAAAGCACUUUAAGCGAGGAGGAGGCUACUAGUAUUAAUACUACUGGAUAGUGGACGUUACUCGCAGAAUAAGCACCGGCUAACUCUGUGCCAGCAGCCGCGGUAAUACAGAGGGUGCGAGCGUUAAUCGGAUUUACUGGGCGUAAAGCGUGCGUAGGUGGCCAAUUAAGUCAAAUGUGAAAUCCCCGAGCUUAACUUGGGAAUUGCAUUCGAUACUGGUUGGCUAGAGUAUGGGAGAGGAUGGUAGAAUUCCAGGUGUAGCGGUGAAAUGCGUAGAGAUCUGGAGG
rnacentral:rRNA from 1 species